rnacentral:rRNA from 1 species
GAUGAACGCUGGCGGCGUGCCUAAUACAUGCAAGUCGAGCGAAUGGAUUGAGAGCUUGCUCUUAUGAAGUUAGCGGCGGACGGGUGAGUAACACGUGGGUAACCUGCCCAUAAGACUGGGAUAACUCCGGGAAACCGGGGCUAAUACCGGAUAACAUUUUGAACCGCAUGGUUCGAAAUUGAAAGGCGGCUUCGGCUGUCACUUAUGGAUGGACCCGCGUGGCAUUAGCUAGUUGGUGAGGUAACGGGUCAACAAGGAAACGAUGCGUAGCCGACCUGAGAGGGUGAUCCGCCACACUGGGACUGAGACACGGCCCAGACUCCUACGGGAGGCAGCAGUAGGGAAUCUUCCGCAAUGGACGAAAGUCUGACGGAGCAACGCCGCGUGAGUGAUGAAGGCUUUCGGGUCGUAAAACUCUGUUGUUAGGGAAGAACAAGUGCUAGUUGAAUAAGCUGGCACCUUGAUGGUACCUAACCAGAAAGCCACGGCUAACUACGUGCCAGCAGCCGCCGUAA